CUGAUUCAAAAGAAAUUUUGUGCUUCUCUCUCUCUCUCUCUCUCUCUCUUACGUGCACAUGCACUCACGCAGAUGCACACACACACGCACAGGCGCACACGCUUUAAAAAUCCUUUUAUUAUUUGGUUUGGCAAUGUACUUUCAUCUCGAAAGACUUGUCAAAUGCACCUAAUGGGAGUUUUCCUUAAAGGGGAAAGAAGAUCCAGCCCACUAGUUUAGAUCAAGAUUUACUUGUGAUCAUCAGUUGGAGAAGACUGGACCAUAUGGAACGACCAAGAGUCAAGCCAACUCUUCAAGUGUGAGUUAGACAUUUUCUUAUGUGCAGGAGCCAUUUAAAGAAACUUUUAAUCGAUCAAUGAUUUUUCCCCCCAGUACCGGUCUUUCUUUUUUCACUUAGCUAAAUCACUUAAUACUGUUAGCAUCAUGUUAACUCCUGGAGUAUGUCUGGCUAGGGAGCAUGAAUUGAAGGCACUAGAAUAAUAAUACCAAGAGAUAUUAUGCACAAGACUGAUCCCUAUGCUUUAAGGCCUAUAUACUUUAAAAAGUACUUGUGAUUUUUAGUCUACUGAAAUAUCCUGUGAUCUGAAAGUUAAGGUCUAUGCCUAUUGAUCCACUAAAAAGUGGUAUGAGGUAAACCAGGGAGAAAUUUAUCCACUAGACAGGAACUUAUUACUUGAGCCUUAGUGAACUUAUUACAUGAGCCAUAGUGAACUUUCUACGUGAGCCAUAAGUUUUGACUUUUACAUCUAAUUUCUUGUUACAUUAAGGCUAGUUUUCUAAUCCAUUUAUUGUUGACUAACUAACAUUAGCAAAUACAUUUCGUCCUAUCAAGACUUGUAAAGAACAUUAUCAAAUUCUUUAUACUAGCGAUUUGGGGGGUAUGUAGUAAAAGGGCGCUUUAUGCACUUACAACUUAGGAAACCGAGUUUGGGAUACAACACAAGGAUCCUUGGCCAGCUUUCUACUAAAGCAAAGACUUAAGAUGAAUUGUCAAGUUAUGUGUUACCCAUACCCUAUGUCUCACAAGUAAUUACUACAGCAAACUUUAUUGUACUUUUGAUUAGUUAAAACAAAUAAUACCUGUUGUGUUGAUCUUUUCCUUUUAGGUGAAUCUUCCAAAGUUACUGAGAUUCAGUCUUUCUGAAUUUAAUCUAAUUUGCCCAAUUUUUCUUUUCUUUUUAUCAUUUUUCUCUCUUGGCAUAUAGAUACUUUUCAUUCUCAACGACUGUUAUAGGUGGAGCUUUCCUGAACUUCCCAUUUGCUUUAAUCCAGAUCAUUCUACUUAUUAACAUAUCCAUUUGUGAGCUGCCUUUACUUUUAUAAAGAGAUGAUAUCUAACAAGUGCUUCAGGGGAAUAUGAUUCCUUGAUGUGGCAGUCCUUUGCUCUUGCCCCCCCUCCACAGCCAAUGGCUUGGUUGUUCUUUUUACAUUUCUGUAAUAUCAUAUGACAAACAAGCAUCAGAUUUAUUCCUCUUUCUCACAACUAGCAAAUUUUUAAAACAGCACCUUUUUCUCCAAGAAUAAAAUUGCAGGUGCAUUAAAAAAAUAUAACCAACAUAAUUGCUCUUCCGGUUUAGUUUAGAACAGAACUGCAUUCUCCAUAAGUAAACUCUCAUGACCAGCAGAACGGAAAUAUCUGGGAGUUUGACUCAUGAAGAGUACGAAGUUGGACCUCAACUUUAUGACUUUUAGAUUAUAUUUCCCCAGACAUACUACUUGUACUUAUCUAGGUUAAAUCUCAUUUGCUAUUUCCUGACCAUGUUUUUGGCAGAUAGCUGAUAGUACUCUUGUUGACUUUUGGUUUGUAAUUGUAAAUUACUAUCAACAUUUUCUUAAAACGGAUUCUAUUUUGUGAGUUCUGUCAUCAUGCAAAAAUAAAACUAAACAGGUAGAGAGCCCAGGAUAAGAAAGCUUGGAUUCAUUGAAAAGAUGUAACAUGAAAGGUUUAUCCUAUAAAAGCAGAGAUUGUGGGCUGAGGCCAUUUAGAGGAAACAAUCAGCUCUCUUUUGGCCAAAAAUAAGCCUGAAGAAUAGUACCAGAGGUAGCUGUAAAGAUAAUUUUCAAACAGCCUUGCCUUGCAUGCCAAACCAAGUACCAUCUAAGCGCCAAAAUUAGUGCCAAAGGAGUAGUGGAAAGGAGAAAGCAAACGAUCCACUGUUUGUUUGAUAAGCAUAAAAUAUUUAUAGUGAGGAAAAUUAUGUUUCCAACAUUGUAAUUGUCUUUAUUUCUUAACAUGUAACAAGAGGCACUUAAGAGCUGUUCUUGGUAAUGAAAACCUAAUGUGUCCUUGAAUAUUAGUCAGAUAUUCAGAGAGCUGAAUUGCUGAUUGGGGUUGACUUCUUCUGUUUCUGUUUUUGUUUUUGUCUGUUUUUCUUUGCUUUGUUUUAUUCUUUGCCUCCAUGUGGUUUCUCUCCUAACACAAGACAUUGUGUUUGCUUGCUUUGUUUUGGUAUUCUAUUUAUCAAACAAAUAUUUGAUAGCUUAAAGUAUUCUUGAAGGAACGAAACUUAAAAUUGCUUUAUGCAUCAUUUAAACCAGUGCUUUGACAGGAUAUUAAAUCUCUAUAUUAACUGAAUCAUAGCCCCAGACCAGUAUAUUUAUGGUGACUAUGAAGUGGGGGGGGUCGUNNNNNNNNNNNNNNNNNNNNNNNNNNNNNNNNNNNNNNNNNNNNNNNNNNNNNNNNNNNNNNNNNNNNNNNNNNNNNNNNNNNNNNNNNNNNNNNNNNNNNNNNNNNNNNNNNNNNNNNNNNNNNNNNNNNNNNNNNNNNNNNNNNNNNNNNNNNNNNNNNNNNNNNNNNNNNNNNNNNNNNNNNNNNNNNNNNNNNNNNNNNNNGUGUGUGUGUGUGUGUGUGUGUGUGUGUGUGUGUAUAAUAUGAUCCCUGUGGUGACUGCAGUGCAACCACUUGCAGCAAUUUUUAAUCUUUGAAGUUAGGUAAAAUUUUGUUAGCAGUCUCAAAUCAUUAAUUUAAUCGCUUUGGGUGUCGUUCCAGCAACUCGCGAAAUUCUCACCCGCAAUCAGAUACAAUGACAUCGAUGGAGGCAAAAGGCACCACCAUGCGUUUACCUGCACUCUGUGCGAAUGGAAUUGGAUUGCCGGUGAGGCCAGGCGCAGGGGGGUGUGAAACUAUGUACAAAAUUAAAUGUGAGCGAGAAAUGCUGAUCAAAUCCUUUGGAAAGAGGUGUUUACUGUUCAAGAAAUACUGCGAACGUGGCUGCAAGGACCAAUGGUGAAUGACUCACUUGAUGUGAAAAUCGAGCUAGGAAGCUUGGGAAGAGACAGAGAGAGAGGGAGACAGACAGAACGAGAGACCGUCUGGGGUCGCGAGUACUGGAGCUGUGGCAACGUGGGAGGAAUCGCAGAAGCGGAGACCGCCAAACGACGUGAGCCGGGCUCAGAUAGCUAAGCAAAAUUCACCUCGGAAAGGAGGCUUUUCUCUGCCGAUUUCGCCUUCACUCUACGGAAGUCUAGCUCUUUUCCUAAGCCUCGUCUAUUUCCUCAAGCCUAGGACGCCGGCACAUUUUGAUGCUCUUGGAAAAGCCGCGGAGACUCUGGGUUGCUGGUGCUGUGUGCAGGCGCGUCCGGUCGCUCUGCCCGGUGGCUCAUGCAAUUUGAUUUCAGGCCUUUUUCCCCCUUGGCAUUAUUUUUUUACUACUUGGGGGGGGGGGGACCAUAUAAGAAAUUCGAGAACAGACUGUGGGAUGCAGAACUGCACACGUGAUCUUGCAAAUGGGAUAGGACGGUGGGGGAGGUGGGGAAGAGAGAAGUGAAACUAGAAAUUAUGGUACGGCUUUAGAAUUCCAGAAUCUCCCUUAUUCUUUCCCAAUAUACAUUGUUUCUGAUUCUUCACAGCUGCGCUUACCCAAUAAAAGUGGAAGAGGGAAGAUAAUGGCCUGAAUAGUGACGUGUCUACGGACAUAAAUGUACAAGCGGCUCGCCAGCGGGGGUUUUUGUGGAGGAACCUCAGAGAGAGAGAUGCCGUUCCCCAGGCUGUUUCUAAAUACACGGAGAUUAUUUCUCGAAAGAGUUUGAACAGUUCUUUUGUCCAAAUCCAAGACCCUAUAAUGCAUAAGCUCCCUCAAAUGGGGCAUUCGAAUUUCACUUAUUUAGAGAUGUCUGAAGCUUUCAAGAAUGAGACAAGUGCGGAUGAAAAGACAUCUUUUUAUGGUCUGUUUUGGGUAGCUGAACAGGUAGGCGGACACGCGAAAGAGAUACUUCUGGAAGCUGCUUUGCUUCAGAAGGUACCUUCUUAUUUGCUAAAAGUUUAUAUUAUUGUCAAUAAAAUCAAAAGACAAG
rnacentral:lncRNA from 1 species